UUAACUAAGCUUAAAGUUUGUGGAAAUUUAAAUCCUGCCACUUUCCUUACUGAGAAGGAAAAUGAAACACCUGAUCACGAUUGUUCCCAAUUCCAAACUUUAAACUAUGCCACUCAGGAGGAUCUAACGGAUACCCCACUAGACAAUCCCGACAUGGAAAUAUUUACUGAUGGCAGUUCUUUUGUUCGGGAUGGAAAGCGUAAAGCAGGUUACGCGGUGGUGACUGCUGAACAGGUUUUAGAAGCAAAAUCUCUCCCCCAGGGAACCAGUGCUCUGUUAGUGGAGCCUGUGGCCCUGACCCGAGCUCUAGAGUUAAGCAAAGGGCAGCGGGUAAAUAUCUACACGGAUUCUAAGUGUGCUUAUUUGACUUUACACGCUCAUGCUGCAGUAUGGAAAGAGACAGUUUAAAACAGCAACAGGAGAACCUAUUAAGCAUUUCAGAGAGAUCGAGAGACUUUUAACUGCUGUAUAUUGUCCUAAAGAAGUAGCUGUUAUGCAUUGCCAAGGACACAACGGGGAUGGGGGUAAAGUAGCUGAAGGUAAUCAGCUGGCUGAUUGUCAAGCCAGAAAAGCAGCACUUUACAAAACCCCUUCACUACAGACGCCUUUGAUCUGGACAGGUCCUGUGAAACAGAAAAAAACACAAUGUACUGAGGAAGAAUUAGAAAGAUAUGAGAAAAGAGGAGCAAAGAUUACUGAUAAAGGAUGGUUACAGUCUGAGGAUGGACGAUUAAUAAUUCCUGAAAGUGCUUAGUAGAAAAUUCUUAAGGGUUUACACCAGAGUUUUCAUUUGGGUGCAGAGAGUACUUACCAGAUGGCUUCUCGUUUGUUUGAAGAUGGGCCUGAUAAUCUAUGUGAGCCUACUUCUGCCGACUCCAAAAAAUCUUGAAUCUGCUGUUUGAUCCUCAAGACAAUGCCUUCCUGUCCUGAGCUCACUCCUAUGCUGAAUUCCACAAUCAGUCUAACUGCUGGGUCUGUGGAGCGCUCCCCUUUUCAUCAGUGGAAGGCUUCCUGUGAUGGAAUCUCCACUUCAAAGAAAAGACUUUCUCCAAGUCUGCGAACAGCUUCGACAACAAUCACAUGCGAUGCCUCUUCUUCAUCUGAUGACAUCUAACAGCCUUAGGAUGGACUGAUGUAACUAUGGACAUAAUGUGACUUUUCAUUUUGAUUUUAAGUUGGUUUAAUGACUAUUUUGCCUUACUUCUGUAACUGUAUAAUGGGGUUUUCUAACCGUCUAAAAGCUUUUAAGUUACAAAUGGUUGUUCAAGCUCCUACGGGUGCCACAGCCUCCUCCAACUAUUACUUGGGGCCCCUGGAUCAGAGACCCUCAAUAUGCAGGUUAGGAGAAUAUGUUGGUUCAACAAUUUAAGGGCCAUGCCCCUAAACAGCAGGAAGUAGUUAUGGAACGAAAACGACGCCCCUUUCCCUUGGCAUAAUUCUCAUUAAAGAAAAGGAGGGAAUGAGAGAGUAAUUUCCUAGGCAGGUUGAUAAGAAGUCUAUGGGUCCCCAAGGAGAGAGGAGUCUGGAAUGCUCAAGGAGGAAGAAAGGACAAACUUUUUUCCCCUCUAUAUUCCUUAGGAUUAUAUAACAAUAAUGUAUCCUGCUUGAGGACAGUCUCUGGAAAAAACGCUUCUGGCUAAUCCUGUUAUCUUAAGGUGUAAAUUAUGGAGUAGGUCUAGUGAGGACUUAACAACCUCCAGGCAUUCUUUUAAUUCACUGUAAUAACUAAUUAGAGAGUAUGUAACUCCAUGGCUAACACUAGCAAGGGGCACUCUUUUUACCCCCUUCUGAUUCCUAUGUCAGAAGAUUUCUCUAUCUCCUUUAUACUUCAAUAAAACUUUAUUACACA